GACGAACGCUGGCGGCGUGCUUAACACAUGCAAGUCGAACGAUGAAGCUAGAGCUUGCUCUGGUGAAUUAGUGGCGAACGGGUGAGUAACACGUGAGUAACCUGCCCCGAACUCUGGGAUAACUGCUGGAAACGGUAGCUAAUACUGGAUACGACCUACGAAGGCAUCUUCUGUAGGUGGAAAGAAUUUCGGUUCGGGAUGGACUCGCGGCCUAUCAGCUUGUUGGUGAGGUAAUGGCUCACCAAGGCGACGACGGGUAGCCGGCCAGAGAGGGUGACCGGCCACACUGGGACUGAGACAAGGCCCAGACUCCUACGGGAGGCAGCAGUGGGGAAUAUUGCACAAUGGGCGCAAGCCUGAUGCAGCAACGCCGCGUGAGGGAUGACGGCCUUCGGGUUGUAAACCUCUUUUAGUAGGGAAGAAGCGAAAGUGACGGUACCUGCAGAAAAAGCACCGGCUAACUACGUGCCAGCAGCCGCGGUAA
rnacentral:rRNA from 1 species